CUUUUCCAGUCCACGUGUUUGUCCGUUGUUCAUUUUGCUAACAUUUUUAUUUUAUUAAGAAAUUUUACUUUAUCUGGAAAUGCAAAUGAACGGCAUAGGUGGCAGAACUAGUACUUUUUAUUCUGUUUUCAUUCACCUGGAGACUUGCUGUCUGAAGAGUCGACCGCACUUCAUAAUGUGUAGUGGAACACAACCCAGCGUGUGGUGUAAAAUUGGCCACUUUCUAGGUGUGAUAAGAAUAGUAGCUGACUCUGCAGUGUACUGAACGAUGCAAAGGGCAGAACUAAUGCUCAUACCUAGGCUCUAGUUAAUCAUCAUGUUCGAUGGCCCCUCUUAACAGGGCUAACUCCUUAUUUUCACAGUUCCAGACCCACACACAGUUGUAACUUGCUAUUUUGGCAGAACUUCCCAUUCAUCCAUGUUUUCCAAAACUCGAAACGUGCAUCUCUUAACUACGUAUCUCUGAACCUUAUUCUUUAAGCUUUACCUUCCCUCCUUUGACAAUACCUGUCCUGUCAUCACCUCACUGCUAUACUCAGAUUCCACUAGGGAAAUAUUUUGAGGUUAUCAUUGUAGACGUGUUUAAAAAGUGUGUUAGCUGUGGCUGAAAAUCUUAGAAGGCUACCUUAUUAAGAUCUGAGUCUGAAUGCUUGCUUGCUUUAGUAACCCAUUGAAAUGAGUUGUUUCGGCUCUACCCAGUGUCCAUUCUUUCAUGGAACAGAACGUCUCCCAUUUUAGCCUAAUACAUCAUGAUUUUACCAAUAGUUAAGGAGGAGGUAUGCAGAAUAGCAGUAUCUCAGGUCAGCUAAAAUGUUUCAUGUAAGCUCUUUGUGGAAUACUCAUCGGGGACCUGCCCAGAGAAAAUAGUGUCUUGAGUUAGGACAUCCCACCGUCUCAUGAGCAACAGAUUUUUUGCCCCAGGAAAAUGGAAAGGAGAAAAGGAAAAAUAUAAAACAAUUAUAAUGUUCUCUUAUUAGGUAAUCAUGUCAGUCUUUCUAUUGUGAAAUGAAUAGCAUUGGGUCUUAGUAUUAUGUAAGGAAAUUUGAGUUCGUGUAACUUGAAUAAUAAAUAUCUCUAAAGAAUUGUCACCACAUGUAAAGCGUUUGUGUUCCUAGAAUAUAAUAGGCACUUUUUCUUCUGGCAGUUUUGAUACUGAUAAUCAGUGAUGCCUGUUUUUUGCUCCAUAGCAUUUGUAUUCAGGUAAUUAGAAUAAACUCUUACACAGCAGUGAUGAUAAUUUAAAAGUAUUAUCUUUAUUUGAUGUUAAUACUAUUAUGUUAGCCAUUUUUAAUUACUAUUUUGGGUAUAGACUAUAAAUAUGGCAUUUCACAAAACCAACUUCAGAACCGUAGGCCUGGAAAUACAGUAGGGUGUGAACAAUAAUGCAAAAUGAUAGCAAGAAUGUCAGGGGCCUUUCUUUGUUGUGUCAUUCAUGCUGUCUUCUUUUUUCCAUGAAGCGCAUGAAUAUUUCACAUAUCUGCAUCCUCAUCCCCUAUUCUUCUUGACUAAUUUUCAGACUGUCUGCAUUUGCAUUUCACAUGGUAGCUGAUUAGGAGAUGCCGAGUGCAGCAGCGAAGCCUCAGCAGGCGGUUACCAUGGUGACCUUCAGCAGGAUUUUAAUGAUGCUACCACUAGUGGUUCGUUGAAGUCGGCCUGCCUGCAGGGCUACUUCACUGCAGCUAAGUGUGAAGUUGGAUACGCGGAUCCUCAGCCAAGGGGCAAAUAUCAAAGUCUGGCCCAGAUAGAAGGUCUUAGAGUUGGGAAAGGAAAAUGGAUUCCACUUUUUACUUCCCUCGUAUAGUUUCCAGUUUCGAAAAGAGCUAUAAAGCAAAACACAUUAUAUGGUGUACUUUCCAAAAAAGUGUGAUUGCUCAUAUUGGUAAAAUUUGUUGUCAUUCCCUGAUGAAAUAGAAAGCUGUAAUUUCUAGGUAAAUGUGGAAAAUAAUUCUUACUAAGAAAAUGAAUAUAAAAAUAUGCAGACUGUAUAACAAUGUUACUUUAAUCUGUUUAGUUAUGUAGAAGAGUUCUCAAAAUAAGAGCUUUGAAAGGCAGAUAAAUAAAUAUUUUCUUAAGUAGCAACUCAAAUUUCUUUGUAAAAUAAUUAUUCAGAGUUCAUGGUAGCCAAAAAUCCCAAAUUUGGAAGUAUAAUAAUGUCUUAAAUAUUUUUGAUAAUUUAGAUCUUUUAAAAAUUCAAAUUACUGUUUAAUUUGUUAGUAUGGCAAAAUACAGGAACCAAUAAAAAGUGAAGUACAGAGUUUUUCAACAGUGAACUUUUAAUGAAAAGACAGUUUAUUUUGUUAAUUUUAUAGGUAAAAUGGUAACAAACUGUGUAACUAUUUGAAAACUAAAAAAUUUUAAGCAAAUCAAUUUACCAAAUAUGUAUUUGCAAGCUUACCAAAUUUACUUAGCUACUGCCAAAUUUUUAAGGCCACUGCCCAAACAAGAUUUUAAGGGAACAUUUUGUGAGAGUACUAGCUAUACGUGCCAAUCGGCCUCAGUUGAUAGGAAUUCUAAGGAACCCUACACAAAUUAUUUCUAGACAUAGUCAUUCUAUUUAGAAGAACUCGGAGUUUCAAAGUUCAGAUUUUUUUUUUUCCCUAUAUUAUAUUCUAAAACAUGUAUAACAGGUAAGCAUUAAAACAAAAAAUGAGAAGUAGUUUUAGAAAAAUAAGCCUGUACGUCAAAUCUUUUCUUUUGAAUUAUGCUAGACUUAGUGUGUACAAAUGAUUGGGGUUCCAGAUUGAAGUAUUUCAUCUACACAUGAAUGAUAUUAGGGAAUCUAUAUUUUGUGGCUUAUUUAAAUAUUUUUCUUUCUGAUUUCUUUUGGUGUUUUGUAUUUUUUCCUUUUUCUAGUAAUGAUCUCAUUCAUGUAUUAAUGGACAGUUACUAUAUUUAAGCAAGGGUCCUGGGUUGAAAAGAUAUCUUUCCUUGAAUAUCUCUCAGUUUAAGUGAAACUUGGUAUUGUUGGUGACAGUGAAGCAAACAUUUACUUAUGUAUAAGGAAUUGUGACUCAAAAGCCUCAUAAACGGACCUGGGCUCAUCUCUCAAGGAUUGUUGAUCAUCAGAUAUUCUUUUCUAAUUUUUCUAACUCUAUCAAUGCAUGUUCCACUAGAAGUUCCAUGAAUUUUCAUGUUUUUAUAGAUGAUGUUUCCUCUUUCGGAAAUACCUCUUUCCCUGUUCUUUACCAAACAAACUCAUUCUUUUCCUUUCAAAUAUAACUUGUACAUAAAGUUUUCCUGUGUGGUUUUCCCUGACCUCCUUUCUUCUCUUCCUGUUGCCUCCUCCCUUGGCAGUUACACCAUGUUGUAGUAGCUUCCUUGCACGGAUGCCUCCCCUGCAGGCUGUCAAGCUCCCGCCAUUGAGGAUCAGUAACUCUGCUACUUAUCUGUAUAUCUCUAGGGCCUGGGGCCAACACAUUUUUAAAGGCUUAGUAAUCAAUUGAUUGAUUGAUUGAGGGAGUGAGGGUGGGAAUCUGAGUUAAAGGAAUAAAUUUUUUAAAAGAAUGGAUGAACCAAUAAAUGAGAAUUGAAUGAGCGAGAGAAACUUCUCCAAAGAACUCUCUCUAGAGUAAGGCAGAAAAUUACUUGCAAGAUAGGCCAGAGGAUGUGAUAGUUUUCUUUGAUUGAUAUUACUUCCUAUUUUAUAUAAGCAUCAUUAUCUCUGUAAUGCCAAGUGCGCAUUUACUGGGAAAUAAGAUAAAUAGACUGUUUUCCUUCAGUUUCAGUAUUUAAUUUCUUUGAGAGACAUUGGAGUAGUCACCAAAAUUAUGCAUUUGUUCACUAGCUUAUCUUAUGAAUUCUAAGUAAAAAACAAUAGUAAAUAGCUAUAUUGUUAAUUAUUUAGAAGUUUAACUGAUGCUGUUAAAAAUGUCAGCGUUAAUAUCAAACAAAAUAUAUACUUUGUUUCAUUCAAUACUUUGUUAUUAAAAAUUUCUAGUUUGAAUACAGAAAGCAUAAGAAAAGUUGACACAGUGGUGCCUCAGUGGUUGCUUUUAACAGAUUUCAUGUUAGGUUUGAGGAGAUAGCUUUGGAAGCAAGUUCUGUAAGUUGAGUACAGGGUUUACAGGUGAAAGUUUAAGAAAUGGAAAUGAGAAAGAAGUAUAAAGCGUGCCCUUGGUUCAAGAAAAUUGGGUAGAGAUAAAUUGAAGACUAAAGACAGUGCUUUGAGUAAAAAAGAAAUUUAAGCACCUGUCAAACAUUGGAAAGAUGGUUAAAACGUUUUUAAUAAAGUAGACCAUUAUUACAACAACACUUGCUGAUCUGCACUACUACUACUAAAUAGAUAAACAUCUGCUUGCUAUGGCAGAUGUUUAUCUAUUUAGUAGUAGUUUUAAAUGUAUUAUAAGAAAGACUGAUGAAGGAUACAAUAUUUCAGUAUUUGUGGUUAUUGUGAUUAUAUUCUGAUUAUAUUUUCAAAAACUUACUAGUUUAGUAAGUCUCAUUAAUGCUUUUUAUAGGUUAAGAAACCAGCAAAAUGUGAUUUUGGAAUCAGAAUUUUUAAUCCAGUGAUUAGUUUUCACAUUACGUAAUGUCUCUUUUGUUUUACAUUAAAUUUGUGUUCAUUGUAUGACGUUAUACCUCCAGCCCACAGACAGAAAACUUGGUUAUUUUAAAAAAAUCAAGUAAUGAGACUACUCAAAAAAAUUAUACCAUAAAGUAUCAACCUGAAAGGUCACAUUCAAUCAAAGAACUAAUAGAGAAUGAAUGAACCAUAAAUGUUCACCUCAUAAAUGCUAAUGAAUAUAUUUUGGUUUUACCUGUUUUCUGUUAUUUUUGUCUUCCUCUUUCAGGUGGACAGUGUCCCUCUCCUUUUUUUUUUUUUUUUUUAAGUUAGAGAAACAUAGGCAGGAGGGGAGGGUUCUUUCUGGCCUCUCCUGAAAUAGUUUAGCAGUGCAGCCUGGUAAUAUCUUUCCUGCUGCUGCACUCAAAUGUUUACAAAUUGCUGACAUCAUCUCCACUGUUGUUGAAACAAGAGAGGUCUUGAUUUUAUGGUGUAUUUAAAAUCAACACAGGGAUUAAAAAGUUAAGAUUUUUUCUAUGGUUGAUUUUGUAUGAAUAACAAUAGUAAAUUUUUAAUGGAAAUAAACUGAUUUCAGAUAUUUAUAGGUUAUUGGAGAAUAUAAUAUGUUUAUGUGGCUUUGAAUAAAAUUAUAAUACUGAAUUUUUUUCACCUUUUGAAAUCACGUUUUAUUUAAUCCAGUUGUCAAUUUUCCUGUUAAAGAAGGGUAACUGCAUCAUUCCCAUUUCUCUAUGUGUAAGUAGAGACCUAGACAAUGUUUAGAGCAAAUACUGGACAUCACAGUGGUACCCAUAUGGCAUGGCAUCGCCAUUUGUGUUAUAAGAACACAGAGCCCAGAGUAAAUUCUCAGGUGUUUUAUGAAUGAGCAUUUCAUGAUUUCUACUCUUAGACUUACUAAUUCUUUAUUUUUCUCCUCUCUGUUCUUAACCCUUUCACUCACCAUAUUUAUCUGGAAUCUCCUUCUCUAGAGGCAUAGCAGGUGAGAGGGCAGAGUCACAAUGAGGCAUUUGCUUAGAACACUCUUCUGACUCAUGAAAACUCAGGGACAAUGUAACAUUGAAAGGAAAGUACAAGGAAGCUACAGAAGGGUAGGAGUUACUGCUACCUAUCUGAGUAUGAAAGACCAAGCAUGUAUCUCAACAUAGCAAAUAUGUUGAUCCAUAAUAUAUUGAACAAAAAAAGUUAUGGUUUGUCAUCAUUUUACUAAUACUUUAUUUUCAAAUGGCUACUAUUAAGGAAAGGAAAACACUAAAUGAAAGCUUUAAAAAUUAUAACUGGGUUUCAAAAAGAAUAUUUAUAAAUAAUUUUUGUUUAUUUUUAAUUUAGAAUAUGUUUAAAGAAGAUUUUUAAGGGAGUUAAGUCAGUAACAAAAACUAUGACCUUUGCUUUGGUUCACGAAAGAACUGCUUUAUGUAAAUAGAAAAAAAGAUGAAAGUGUCAGGUAGAGAUUAUUUUUACAUUUUUGAAGUUAAAUUAAGUUUAUAAAACUUUUUUAUUCAUUUGAGCAGUCCAAAUAUUUUUAGUUUGUAAUUGCUAGACUUACAAAUUUUAAUAGAUCUAUGUAAGUUUUCUGGAGUUGUUACUGUAAAUUAACCAAAGUCGUUUAAAUUGGUGUUAGAGGAUUUUUUUGUAACACAUUGUCCUAAAAUUAUUUAAAAGAAGGACAUUAUUUUAUAUGGCACAAUGUCGGAAGGUAAUUCUGAACAAACAUUUCUGCAGUCUCUGCAACCAUGUAAUCAAAUCCUGAAAUAAGAAUGUUUUACUUUAAAAUGUAGAUAUAUAUGUAAUAAAAUCAGUAAUAUAUAAUUGUGCCAUUAUUUAUUAAAAUUAGCAGUGUUGUCUCAAACACUAUUAAUAACAUUUGAUUUUCUUUCCUAGAAAUUGUUUCAGUAAAUUUAAUAUUCUCAUCACUUAAAACAUAACAUCAGUUGGCCACCUUGCUGAUAGUUGCCAUAUAAGAUUAGACUUUUAAGCUUUGAAUCUUCUAUUUUUGUUUAAAAUACAUAGUUAAGCAAGCCCUUUGUUCACCUGUGCUUCUGAAGUUACAUUGGGGACUUGCUCCUUGAAGACAUGAAUCCAAAACGGUGUCCUAUAUUUCACAUGUCCUAUGGGAUCCUAUAAAAAUCAUGUAACUUUCUGUAAGACUUUCACAGUUUUCAAAAGACACUGAAUGAUCUUCAGCUGUGAAAUAGAGACAUUACAUUACCUUAUAUCUGUGUAAGAUUACUUUCUUUUCCCUUUGCCUCUACCCCCAAGUCAAUCACUAGUGACACUUUGGUGUACCAGUAAGAUACGCCUAAUCAUUUUGUAUAAAUAUCUAAAGCUCCAAAAUAUAGUGUACUUUAAUGUAUUAGACCCACUUUGGGGUGCUAAAAUGUGUCCUUGGGUAGAUGGAAAUUGGGUAUAUCCGGGAGACUGACAUAACAUAAUUGGUCUCAGAGGGAUUAAGAGGGGGGUGAAAAAGGAACAGUACCAAUAGCACUAGUCUUUAUUAUUCUGUUGAGAAUUGUUAGUGACCUAAAGCUGUAAUGCACAAAGAGCCCUAUUGUUAUUACCUGUACGUGACUGAACUUGAUCUGUAAUUGGGUUAUCACCCUGACAACAAUGACUGUUAACACUGUCUUCUUUUUAACAUUUCUGGUAUCAACCUAUUUGCUUUGAUAUCUCUUUAGAACUAUAUAGAUCACAAUAUAUUUGUAUUUUCUCUACUUUAUUGACAACGUUCAUUUCUUUAUAGCUAAUGACCUCAUAAUCCCUUAGAAAUGUUACAGAGAAUCCAUUUUAUUUUUACUUUAUAAACUUUGUUUCAUUUAAGUGUUUCUAUGUUGCUUUUAAAAUGUUUGAGAAGCAUCUGAAUUAAACAGUUUUCACUGAUUUUGUAAAGGCUUUUGUAUAUUCAGACCUUUACUUUGCCUUAUUUUAAACAUAUUAUAUAAAACAAUUUUUUAUAAAAGCAACAAAGUAGACUUUUUUUUUUUUUUACAAACGAGUCAAAAGUAAUGCAAACUAAGUUUUCUGAGAUAACAUAAACCAUGAAAUGCUUACUUGUAUUUAUUCUUAUCAGUGUUGCAAUAUCUAAUGAUAUUGGAAUUAUUUCUACAAUUUAAAGCAAUAAAUGGAAAGCUAACUCCCACAAUCAAGCACACAUUUUUUUGAGCAAGUGAUUGACUAAUAUUAUUAGAAAAUGAAACCUGACAUGAAGGAAUAUGUAUCAAAUUCUUAAUACUAUUAUCUAAUCACAUUUUCCUAGAACAUGGGUUAAUAAUGUAGUACUUAAAAUCAUUCACAGUAUUGGAUAAAUAUUAAAUGUUUUUUAAAUAACUUUAUUCCUUCCAGAGGUUUACAGAAACUAUUUUAAAAAUGUAAAAAAAACACUGAGGGAAAUCGCUAGGAUCAUUAUCUCGUUUUGAUUAUUUGAUAUCUGAAAAAGGGAAAAAACUUAGAGGCAUUUCUUAUGUUCAUCAGGUUACUGUAUAAAUUUAUAAUCUGGAAUAAAGAAAUUGUUCUAUGAUAAAAAUCAAGUUUAUUUUAUUUGGAGGGAGUUUACUGCCAUUUUCAUGAGUCAGAUUAGAAAUAACAUUAAAAAUAUCAUCUUGUCAUAAUAAUUGAAUAUUUUGGUGUCAUUUAAGUAUAUCUCUCACAGAAUAAAGUAGGCUAUAUCUUAUUGGGAAUUCUGCAGAACUCUUGAGAAAAUUUUUUGGUUUGAUUUUUGAUCACAAUUGGCCUAUGAAAUGUGAAGGCAGAUCCAUUAAUUUUAGAAACCAGAGGAACUGGUGUUAGAGUUAGCAUUCUUUUGAAAAUCACAAUUGGCCUCACAAUCUGUCUUUGACUGUGUGGAAGGCCACCCCACCUUUGUGCAGAGGUGGCCGUGAGGGACCCUCCAGAUCAAGUUAGAAUUUUCUCUGGCAGUAUAAUAUAGUACUAUAUUUAAAAGCUUGGGCGCUGGAGCUAGACUGCUUUAUUUCAGAUCCAGGCUUUGCCCCUUGUGCCGUGGUGGCCUUAGGAAUGUUACGACUCUUUAAAAUUGUAUAUACCAGUAGUGUCCACCCCAUAGAGUUUUUAUGAAGAUUAAGUAAAUUAAACCAUGUAAAAUGCAUAGAAUGGUUCAUAAAUAUUAAAUAUUACCUUUUAGGAGAUAGUUUUUCUUUAGCACUGGAACUAGCAUUUAUUUGAAAUCCCAGAGAUAUCUCAAAGAGCAUAAAGAGAUAUCUUUUGAUCUGAAAAUGUUCAGGGGACUGUAUUUUCAGUUCUCCAUUGGAGUCUUAGAAAAACUAAUAAUUCAGUGGAAUAUCCAAGUCUAAGUAAUAUAACCCCAGAUAUGUUCACUAGCUGCAAAAAGUGCACCGCUUCGUAACCAUGAGUCAACCUAUUACGUAUAGUUAUUUAACAAAGUAAAAAUGGAUUUUCUUUUCUAAUGGAUGAGUUUUAAACCCUAGCUCUUAAUACAAUACCCGGGUUAUAAUAUACAUAGGUGACUAUUUUAUCCUCCUAUUCACAAUGGCAGGGCCACAAAUAACUCUACCACCUUCAAGUGAUAUUAUAGUUUUGUAUUCAUUAAAAGAAGGAGAUGUGGCCUUGUUUGUAAUUGCUGUUUAGUCUUACAAGGCUAUUCAUGGAUCCAUAUGAAUUCACAUUUUUAAACCCAAUUAUUAACAUUAAAGGCAUAAAAUUUUACUUGUGAUUUUUUUUUCCCCUUGUUAUACCAAAAGAUUUUUGCAACUGAUUUUUCCCCCACUAGAGUAACAGGUCUGUUUUAAGUAUAUCUUUAGAACAACCAAUAGUUAUCUGACAAAUACCAAGGAAAAUAACAUGAAAUUAAGAAUUCAGCCUAUAUAAAUCUCCUAUUAUGUAAUUCCCAAUCCACUUUUCUUCAAAAAAGAUUUGAGAUAAUUUAUAGCAACAGACAUGACUUAUCUGUAAUUAAAAUGGAUAUAUAAGUAAAAUUCAGAACCAGGAUGGGAAGGGCACGGAAAUGUAUACCUGUUACGACCAGCAGAGUUGCUGUGUUGAGGUUCUCACUUGGCUAUUGCUUCCUUUAUCUCAUGGCACAAAGGGAAACAUAGUAAGCAAAUUAGUUGCUGCUUUUAAGGGGGAAAUAUACUAUUAAUAGUUUCUCACAAAAGAGAAAGUUGUCUCCUAUUGAAUUAUGGUAGAAAUAUCUUAUAUGACUAUCUGUGAGUAAUGUACCAAGCAGUGUCUUCAACAUCAAUUUUAUAGCAAAUGCCUAAGUGAUGUUUGAUGAAAUCCAAAAGCGUGUAUAAAAGCACCAUUUUGGAAAGGUGAUUUGUCAGCAGGAUAAACAAAUGUGCUCCCAAGAUGCAGCCUUCUGGUGGUCUGACUAAAGGAUAGAACUUAGAUUAUCCAAAGUUGUAAAGAUGACUUUAUUCAUUACAGAGUCUUCCCUAAAUUUCAAUUUCUAACACAAAUUUGAUAGAACCCACUACAUGGCAUACUAUUUAAGGUUAUAUACUCUUUGGCAAGAACGUGGAUUCUAUUCUUUUGAUUUGCUUAGAGGAAAACAAAGCAUGUCAGGUGGACACCCUUAAUGAAAUUUGAGCCACCUUACCACUGUGUUCACUAAAUAACAGAACAAUCUCUGAGUGGAAUAAACUACCCAUAUUACUUUCUCCAUUCUAUGAUGACCUGUUAGUAUCUAGUCACUCAUGUCUCCUGAUUGGAAUUCAGGUGAUACCUUAAAUCAAGUGUUAUCCCGUUAUCAUGGAAAUGAUUUGAAAUUAGUGUUACUACUAAUCAUCAUGUAUAAAUAGCUGUAUUAAGCAUCAGGAGAAAUUCAAACCAAAAGACCAAGUAGGUAAAAGUAAAGAAGCUGUCAGCAGUGGCAUGUGGUAAAAGACCUGCGUGAAAAAAAUCAAAUGACUUGAGUUCCAACUCAAGUCCCACCAUUAAUUUUUUAAUUCACCCUUGGAUUUUUCAUCUGUAAAAUGAGACUGUUGUGGGAGAUUACAAUACUUUAAAUAGAGCUGUUAAAAAUAAAAUUAUAUGGAAGAUUUUGUAAAAUGAUAAGUUCUACAUUGCCCAGGCUGGAGGCUCACUGCAACUUCCACCUCCUGGGUUCAAGCAAUUCUCCUGUCUCAGCCUCCUGAGUAGCUGGGAUUACAGGCAUGAGCCACCACCCAGCCUAGAAUAUUUUUAUAAUCCAGAACGAUAUCUGCCAUUAAGCAAGACUAAAUCAACACAUGAGUAUUUAAGAGAACUGUACAAUUAAAAAUUACUGUUUAGUAUAGGUUAACAACUUUUUACUUGAGCUGUCUCCUUUAUCUUCAUAAUCUAGAUAUGGUAGAGUCACAAAACAUAUUUAAUGUGUGUAAUUCAGUUGUCUUGAUAUGAAUGCGGAAUUAAACCCAAAAUUCAGGAAUUCAUGUUUCUACCAAAAUCUCAGUGUGUCAGUAUCUCAAACGUGAUAUCUUAAAAAAACUCGAAGUGCCCUUCUUGCCCUCUCAAGGCCACACCUCCUGUAGUGUUACCACUUCUGUUACCCCACUUCAGAUACCCUCGUGAAUACUUCUGACGAAUGCUGUUUCUUGCCUGAAAUCUUAGAGGAACUUAAUUGAGCAUUCUGCUGGCAUCGUUCUCUUUUUGCCUGUCUUUGCACCAAGAAAACAUGUGCUGAAGCCCAACUCUAAUGGUCUCUCCCGCUUGCCUUAAAUGCUGAUUUCCCAUUGUCUGUGUGAAUAGAUUUUAAACCCCUUAAGGCUUUCUCUUCUUUGGCCCAGCUUAUCACUUCAUCCCUGCGGCUCGGCAGUCAUGCAGCAGUGCCUGCCAUCGCUUUCACACACAUCAUACUUUCGUUGGCCAAGAAUCGUUGUUCAUUCUGUUAUCUCUGCUUAGAAUUCUCUCUACCCCUUUUAUAUAUUAAGAUUAUGUUUUUGCUUCAGACCUCAGCUCAGAUACUACCUCCAAAAAACCUUUUCUUUUUUCCUCAGCCAGAGGUUACCCACUCAUCAUUCUUUCAUUCAUUCCACAAGCCAGUGAGUACUUACCAUUCAUCCAGCAUCCACCCUCUAGAUCUUGCAGUUUAAUAAGAGAACACAGACAUUUAAUGAAUUACAAUAAAGUAUUCUAAAGACUUUAAUACAAGUAUGUGAAGGGUACACUGGGGUCCAAGUAGAAUAUAGUAAGUUCCAUGUAGCAAAUACAAUAAUGAGGAAGGACUUUAGAGAAGAGAUAUGCAGCGAGGAGAUAAGGCAUGAGACAGGUGAGAGAGAUAGGGGUUUGGAGGGGGGCUGUUAUAAGAAGAGUACCAGCGUAAUCUAAGAUGUAGGGGCAUGCAGCAGUUUCAAGCACUGAACUACAAGUGUUUUAUUAUGGUGAGAAAAUAGGGUGGGGUAGGGGAAGGGCGGAGGAGUUUGGGCCUAAACAGGAGCCUGGAAAGGGAAGCAGGAGACUGAUUUUUAACAGCUCAUAUUAUACCAUGCAAAGGGCCUUAGCUUUUCUAAGAGGCUUGGGGAGCCAUUGAAAUGCUUAAAGUAUAAUCAACUGAGUAGUUAGGCGGUGCUAGAGAGAUUGGAAGAAAACCAAAGCAAAGCUGUCAGUUGGAAGACUAUUCCAAGAGAGUGGCAGUGGAGAUGGUGUGGCAGGAGC